rnacentral:rRNA from 1 species
UGCAACCUGAGCUCAGUCGUGACUACCCGCUGAACUUAAGCAUAC